rnacentral:rRNA from 1 species
UAAUACAGAGGGUGCGAGCGUUAAUCGGAUUUACUGGGCGUAAAGCGUGCGUAGGCGGCUUUUUAAGUCGGAUGUGAAAUCCCCGAGCUUAACUUGGGAAUUGCAUUCGAUACUGGGAAGCUAGAGUAUGGGAGAGGAUGGUAGAAUUCCAGGUGUAGCGGUGAAAUGCGUAGAGAUCUGGAGGAAUACCGAUGGCGAAGGCAGCCAUCUGGCCUAAUACUGACGCUGAGGUACGAAAGCAUGGGGAGCAAACAGGAUUAGAUACCCUGGUAGUCCAUGCCGUAAACGAUGUCUACUAGCCGUUGGGGCCUUUGAGGCUUUAGUGGCGCAGCUAACGCGAUAAGUAGACCGCCUGGGGAGUACGGUCGCAAGACUA